ensembl:lncRNA
CGACUGUGAUAAUGCGUUUUCACAGUUAUUAACAUUAUAACUCUAGCAAACUUUUAUAUUUUGUAUAUUUCAUAUACAAAACUGUUAAUGAACAUUUAUAACACUAUGCAUUGUGUUUUCUUACCUUGGCAUUAAAGAGCAUUGCCAAAUAAACUUAAUGCUGUUUCAAGAGCUGAGGGGAGUGACAGCAAAUUUGACAUCUUUCUCUCUUUUGACCAAGUAAUCAAUCAAUCACUCAGAAUUUUUUUUCUUCUUUUUUUUAGGCAGCAAAAAAGUGAAUAGUGAAGUCUUCUAAUAUUUGGCAAAACUCAAAACAUGUUGAGGUGCAAGAUGACUGUAGUAGUUUUUCUAAUAUGCUAUAUAAAAAGAGACAAAGAAGUAAUAUGUGAGACAUGAAAGUAGCACCAGCAUGUAGCUAUAGACAAUGGUCAAAUAUCUUGCUGUCAUUAUAUAAAAAUACUGACUAAACAGAAUCGACUAUUGUGGAGAGUGAAGUGCAAAAAAAUAAAAUGUAAAAAAAAUUCUCCAGAGCAUCAUCACUUAAUUUAUGGUAAACAUGUAAAAGGUCUGUCACAAUAAAAUCAAUUAUGCACAAGCUGCAUAAUCGCAUUGGAAACUGCGAAGGGCAUCCACUGGGAUGUUCGUGUUGGUUUAACUCGACGGUUUUAGGACCUUCUGGACUGGGUUGCAUCCUGCUCGCUGUUUCGCUACAAUGUCAGCACGCAUGAUCUCUCUCUUCGCUUGCUGCAUAACCUUUUUCCAAUCUGGAAAUGCUCAACUGGGAGAGUCUAAAUUACAUGAUAGACCUUAUGAAGUCCUGCUGAGGCAAAAUCUGGUUCUUCUAAUAAGUGUUCUGUCCAUACUGCUGGCGGUCAUGAUUGGAAUGGCAGUUUGUGUCUACAAACCUCUUCGACGCAGAGGGCUGAGACUGACUGCACACUGCCUCAAACCACUGCUGACAUACAGCUUUCCUCUGCCAACACAUGGCACUCAAAGGUCUGUUGAGAUGAGGUGCCAAGACAACCGUUCACAUCUAGGGACCUAUUAA